rnacentral:lncRNA from 10 species
CUGCACUGGCCUUUCCCUCUUUUCCUGCAUUUCCAAAGGUCACUGGUUUCAAAGGUCUCGGCAAGUCUGCCCUGAGCUCCUCUUUUCCCAUCUGUGGGUUUCUACCUCCUCCUAACAGCAAGAGGGAUUUUUCUCUGAAGGUUGCCAAAGGGAGUGGCAAGAACCUCUCAGAGAGCAAUUACCUUGAAGAGCCCUCCCUGGAGAACAGGCUCUUUCUCUUCCAAAUUGGAAAAUCCUCACAUUGUGCCAAUUUGUCCAGAGGGCACUUGGAACUUUACCAGCCGAAACACUCACAACUCUUAAAGGGAAAGUGAGCAACUAACAAAGGCAACCUUCAAGGGGCUGUGGCAGGAGCCAGGUGGCUUUCAAAGAAAAAGCACAAGGUGAACAGCCCCUGAUUGUUUGGAGGAGUCUGAAGGUAUGCAGGCUGGCAGAAGGAAGCUGGCUUGGAUGAACAUCUUGCCAUAUGGAGUCACAAAUUGAAUGGCCCCUUUUCAGCUUGGUUGAGAGCAAGCUCCUGAAGCUUUAAUCUGGGGUCAGUUUGGGGAAAAGAAGAAAUCUUGCAGAAACUUGUCAGGACAUAUCACAUGUAGGUUGGAAGAGGGACAUUGACAGGGGCAAUCUAGUCUAGGGUGAGUUCUGUAUGCCAGAGGACACCAGACUAAGGUAUGUCACUGAUGAUGCUAUUUAAUUCCAGAGGGAGUCAGUUGGAUGCAGCUCUUGGUUUUGAGUCUGGCCCUAAUGCUCUCAGCUGACAAAUUCCUUUUUCUUCUUUUGAGGCAGGGUCUCACUGUCACCCAGGCUAGAUGCAGCGGUGCCAUCACAGCUCACGUGGUCCUCCCACCUCAGCCUCCCAAGUAAUUAGGACUACAGGCAUGCACCACCAUACUUGGCUAAUUUUUGUUUUUUUUUUUGUAGAGGCAGGGUUUCACCGUGUUGCCCAGGCUUGUCUAUAACUCCUUGGCUCAAGCGAUCCUCCCACCUUGGCCUCCCAAAGUGCUGGGAUUCCAGGCAUGAGCCACUGUGCCCAGCUUGGCUGACAAAUUCUAAUGGCAGAAAAGAUCAAAUACCAAGAUUGCUUGUAAACAUCACAGCAAAAUAUUGCACUUACUUCACUGCCCCCUGAAGUGACCACAUUUUUCUUUUGUUUUGAGACAGGGUCUCACUCUGUCACCCAGGUUGCAGUGCAGUGGCAUGAUCAUAGCUCACUGCAGCCUCAACUUCCUGGGCUCAAGUGAUUCUCCCACCCCACACUCUUAAGUAACUGGAACUACAAGCAUGCACCACCAUGCCUGGCAUUUUUUUUAUUUUUAUUUUUAUUUUUAUUUUUAUUUGUAGAGAUAGGAUCUCACUAUAUUGCCCAGGCUGGUCUAGAACUCCUGGGCUCAAAUGAUCCUCCCACCUUGGCCUCCCAAAGUGCUGAGGUUACAUGUCUGAGCCAUUGUACCCAGUCAGUGACCACUUUUGAGAAACAAAAAUACAAAUUCCCAAUCCUAACAUAUAGAUCUGAGCCCCAAAGCAUCUGUGUCUUCACCAGAUUUGAUUUACUUUAAGUACAUUGUUUAAAAAAAAUUAAAAUAAAU